UGAACCACAAAUAUCCAUUGGAUGUACCACAAAAGACCAAAUAUCCAAGACAUUUAACGACGUCCAGUUUACAUCUAUCGUACGUUCGAGUGGUACGUGGCAGUCAAAGGUCAUCCAGAGGACGUCGAAUGUCCUUAUGAUUUGGACAUCUCUUGCACAUUCAAAGCUCUCGUGCAUUGAUCGUACAUAGUGCGUUAUGAGUAGAUGCAAGCACUAUGCCGCAGAAAUACAAGCAAAUUGUCUCUAAUGCAUAACAAUGGGAAGCUAGGAGAGCAAAAGCAUUUAAUUAAUUAUUUUGAAAUUUAGCACGACCUUUGCUCGCACUGUUGGAGGUCUAGUAACGUUGCUGCCGGACACCGCGCGCAAAAGCCAAUACUUUCGCCAUUUUUUUCGCUAUGCUUUCGGUCUCGGUUACGUCAUUUUCUUUCUCAUAGAAAGAUGCUUUAUUUUUCAGUUAUAUCUAUUAGUACACUGUUGAAAAUACGUAACCUUUAACUUGCUGAUGUAAUACGACAAUUUAUAAAGAAAAAAAGAAGCUUGAACCAGCUUGAACUCGCAAUAGCUCUGACUUCGCAUCGCCACUGAUAUCAAUUCAGCAACACGCGCCUCGAUGCAAGUGCGCAGCAAUAUUCCGGGCGUGAGCAGCGUGUGCUUUAUUUGUGUCUUUUCGACUUUUGUGCGGUUGACCAUGGCCCAAGUACGUGUAUACUAGGCAGAACUGUACAGUUGCGUGCUGAAAUUUCGAGCUGUGCUUCUGACUGCUAUUUGUGCUAGAAAGUACUGGCUUUCUAUCUUGAAUCCGGUGGCCCCAGAAGCAAGUGCUGGCAAGCAGGCCAUGCGCUUUUGGUCAUUAAUUAGUAUGUUAUACUACCUCUUACUAAUCAGUUUUAUUCUUUUUAAUUAUAAUUGUGUCACUGUGCCUACUAGUCAUUUUGUGCCUACUCGUUACUUGUGUUUUAAUGAAGUUUAAUUUUCAAGAAUCUGUUUUUGAUUACGUUUUUUUUAGAUCCGCGUUUAACCUGUUUGUAUACAGCGGGAACAUGUAAUGAAUAAUUUCAUACAUGUGCGUGGCUGGGGGCCGAUCAUUUUUGUAAUAAAGCUUUAUCAGUUGUAUAAAUAAAAAAGUAACAUUGGUAUGACAUUGUGAGUUUCACUGGUGUGCUUUACCUAGUGAUUACUGAACUCACUAUUUUUCAUUUAUCCAUUGCAGGAUUUGUAAUGAUGCAUAAUGAUCAAAAUGCGGAUUUACGGUUUUGUUAGCACAGUUUUCGCAUUUUGAUGAGCGCUAGAACUAUAUAUAAAAGUUGACAGUCACUUUAGCGAACACUGAAGAGGAUGAAGGCAGAAGCCUGCGCACUCACGAAGCAUUAAUUAAAUUAUUUGUCAUUCUCA